AUAUAGGUCAAGCUACAAAGGGCGCAUGGUGAAUGCCUUGGCAUCAGGAGCCGAUGAAGGACGUGAUAAGCUGCGAUAAGCUUCGGGUAGGCGCACAUAGCCUGAGAUCCGAAGAUCUCCGAAUGAGGAAACUCACAUGGGAAACCCCAUGUAUCAUUAAGUGAAUACAUAGCUUAAUGAAGGUAACCCAGGGAACUGAAACAUCUAAGUACCUGGAGGAAGAGAAAGAAAAAUCGAUUUUCUUAGUAGCGGCGAGCGAAAGGGAAAGAGCCCAAACCGGAAACUUGUUUCCGGGGUUGUGGACAUAGCAUAAAAGUGGAGGCUAUUGUAACUGAAGAGAACUGGAAAGUUCCACCGUAGAAGGUAAUAGUCCUGUAAGUGAAACGAGAAGACCACGAGUUAUGAUCCAGAGUACCACGAGACACGUGAAACCUUGUGGGAAGCAGGGAGGACCACCUCCCAAGGCUAAAUACUACCUGAUGACCGAUAGUGAAGCAGUACCGUGAGGGAAAGGUGAAAAGAACCCCGGGAGGGGAGUGAAAUAGAACCUGAAACCGUGUGCCUACAACCGCUCAGAGCCCCUUAUGAGGGUGAUGAGGUGCUUUUUGUAGAACGAGCCAACGAGUUACGGUAUGUAGCAAGGUUAAGUACUUAAGGUACGGAGCCGAAGGGAAACCGAGUCUGAAUAGGGCGACUAGUUGCAUGCCGUAGACCCGAAACCGGGUGACCUAUCCAUGGCCAGGUUGAAGCGAGGGUAAAACCUCGUGGAGGACCGAACCACGUUGCUGUUGAAAAAGCAUGGGAUGAGCUGUGGAUAGCGGAGAAAUUCCAAUCGAACCCGGAGAUAGCUGGUUCUCUCCGAAAUAGCUUUAGGGCUAGCGUCGAGUAUGAGUAGUGGAGGUAGAGCACUGAAUGGGCUAGGGGGCAUAGCGCUUACCGAACCUUAUCAAACUCCGAAUGCCACAUACUUUGAGCUCGGCAGUCAGACUACGAAUGAUAAGAUCCGUGGUCAAAAGGGAAACAGCCCAGAUCGUCAGCUAAGGUCCCAAAGUGUAAGUUAAGUGGGAAAGGAUGUGAGAUUUCUAAGACAACUAGGAUGUUGGCUUAGAAGCAGCCAUUCAUUAAAAGAGUGCGUAAUAGCUCACUAGUCGAGAGAUCUUGCGCCGAAAAUGUAACGGGGCUAAACUUACCACCGAAGCUACGGGCUUGAACUUAGUUCAAGCGGUAGGAGAGCGUCGUAACCGGGCUGAAGUCGUACCGUAAGGAGCGGUGGACUGGUUACGAGUGAGAAUGUUGGCAUCAGUAGCGAGAUGUGGGUGAGAAUCCCACAGGCCGAAAACCUAAGGUUUCCUCAGGAAGGUUCGUCCGCUGAGGGUUAGUCGGGACCUAAGCCGAGGCCGAAAGGCGUAGGUGAUGGACAACUGGUUGAUAUUCCAGUACCACUACCAUCGUUAUUAUCGAUGGCGUGACGCAGGAGGAUAGUGUGUGCUAGCUAUUGGAUGCUAGUCUAAGCGUUUAGGCAGUGAGAGUAGGCAAAUCCGCUCUCAUAAUGCUGAGGCGUGAUGGGGAAGGUUCUACGGAACCGAAGUACAUGAUUCCACGCUGCCAAGAAAAGCGUCUAGAGAGAGAAGUAGUGCCCGUACCGCAAACCGACACAGGUAGGUGAGGAGAGAAUCCUAAGGCCGGCGGAAGAAUUACAGUUAAGGAACUCGGCAAAUUGACCCCGUAAGUUCGCGAGAAGGGGUGCCUACGAGAGUAGGCCGCAGAGAAUAGGCCCAAGCAACUGUUUAGCAAAAACACAGGUCUCUGCUAAAGCGUAAGCUGAUGUAUAGGGGCUGACGCCUGCCCGGUGCUGGAAGGUUAAGGGGAACACUUAGCGCAAGCGAAGGUGUGAACUUAAGCCCCAGUAAACGGCGGCCGUAACUAUAACGGUCCUAAGGUAGCGAAAUUCCUUGUCAGGUAAGUUCUGACCCGCACGAAUGGCGUAAUGACUUGGGCACUGUCUCAACUGUAAAUCCGGCGAAGUUGUAGUGCGAGUGAAGAUGCUCGCUACCCGCGAUUGGACGGAAAGACCCCGUAGAGCUUUACUGUAGCUUAGCAUUGAGUUUUGGUAUUGUCUGUACAGGAUAGGUGGGAGACUAGGAAACCAGGGCGUCAGCCUUGGUGGAGUCAACCUUGGGAUACCACCCUGACAGUACUGAAAUUCUAACUGGCGGCCAUGAAUCUGGUCACAGGACAUUGUUAGGUGGGCAGUUUGACUGGGGCGGUCGCCUCCUAAAAAGUAACGGAGGCGCCCAAAGGUUCCCUCAGAACGGUCGGAAAUCGUUCGAAGAGUGCAAAGGCAGAAGGGAGCCUGACUGCGACACCCACAAGUGGAGCAGGGACGAAAGUCGGGCUUAGUGAUCCGGUGGUACCUCGUGGGAGGGCCAUCGCUCAACGGAUAAAAGCUACCUCGGGGAUAACAGGCUGAUCUCCCCCAAGAGUCCACAUCGACGGGGAGGUUUGGCACCUCGAUGUCGGCUCGUCGCAUCCUGGGGCUGAAGUAGGUCCCAAGGGUUGGGCUGUUCGCCCAUUAAAGCGGCACGCGAGCUGGGUUCAGAACGUCGUGAGACAGUUCGGUCCCUAUCCGUCGCGGGCGUAGGAAAUUUGAGAGGAGCUGUCCUUAGUACGAGAGGACCGGGAUGGACUGACCUCUGGUGUACCAGUUGUUCCGCCAGGAGCACAGCUGGGUAGCUAAGUCGGGAAUGGAUAAACGCUGAAAGCAUCUAAGCGUGAAGCCAACCUCAAGAUGAGAUUUCCCAUAGCGUAAGCUAGUAAGAUCCCUUGAAGAACACAAGGUUGAUAGGUCGGGGGUGUAAGCAUGGUAACAUGUUCAGCUGACCGAUACUAAUAGAUCGAGGGCUUGACCAAAU
rnacentral:rRNA from 1 species